AGGCAGCAGUGGGGAAUUUUGGACAAUGGGCGAAAGCCUGAUCCAGCAAUGCCGCGUGUGCGAAGAAGGCCUUCGGGUUGUAAAGCACUUUUGUCAUGGAAGAAAUUGCCUGGGUUAAUACCUCGGGUCGUUGACGGUACCUGAAGAAUAAGCACCGGCUAACUACGUGCCAG
rnacentral:rRNA from 1 species